rnacentral:rRNA from 1 species
GACGAACGCUGGCGGCGUGCCUAAUACAUGCAAGUUGAGCGCUGAAGGUUGGUACUUGUACCAACUGGAUGAGCAGCGAACGGGUGAGUAACGCGUGGGGAAUCUGCCUUUGAGCGGGGGACAACAUUUGGAAACGAAUGCUAAUACCGCAUAAAAACUUUAAACACAAGUUUUAAGUUUGAAAGAUGCAAUUGCAUCACUCAAAGAUGAUCCCGCGUUGUAUUAGCUAGUUGGUGAGGUAAAGGCGCACCAAGGCGAUGAUACAUAGCCGACCUGAGAGGGUGAUCGGCCGCAUUGGGACUGAGACACGGCCCAAACUCCUACGGGAGGCAGCAGUAGGGAAUCUUCGGCAAUGGACGAAAGUCUGACCGUGCAACGCCGCGUGAGUGAAGAAGGUUUUCGGAUCGUAAAACUCUGUUGGUAGAGAAGAACGUUGGUGAGAGUGGAAAGCUCAUCAAGUGACGGUAACUACCCAGAAAGGGACGGCUAACUACGUG